GUGGGCCCUCGAAAUCCUGUGGCGGGAUGAUUCAGUUGGGCGUCGCCUUUCCGGCUCGAACGGACACGACACGGUAUCCUUUUAAGGGGGCCGUCCGAUCGCUGGAACUUGGUGGCGCUCGACGCAUUUCGUUCCCGUCCAAAGGACGCCGCAACCGGUUGGGCUCGACGGCUAGAAGGGCGGACGUGGGCAGGUGGCCGGUGGCGUUGCUUCGAGCUUCGCCGUCGGUUGUUAGCCCGUCUGCCAGAUGGCCCGCCGCUCGACCGUGGUGACACGAGGCCUUUGUAGGCUCCUCCGUCUCCUCCCUUCGCAGGACGCCGGGGCGGAAGGGCAGACGUACGUUCCGAGCGGGGCCGCACUGGCCUUACCAGUGGGCAAAGUUUCGGACGUCAUCGUUAGCCCGAGCGCUCCCGUGGGAGGCAUGAUGGUUGGCGGCGAGUAGGUCGGUCACCCACCCGACCCGUCUUGAAACACGGACCAAGGAGUCUAACAUGUGCGCGAGUCAGUGGGACUUGAAUAUGCCCACAGGCGCAAUGAAAGCAAAGAGCCGGCGGAACCUAGUGCCGCCGGCCGAGCUGUGAUCCCGAGCACUCGUUGCUCGGGCGCAACAGCGACCCGUCCUAUCCGAUUCAUCGGUUGGGCGGCGUUAGAGCGUACACGUUGGGACCCGAAAGAUGGUGAACUAUGCCCGGACAGGACGAAGCCAGAGGAAACUCUGGUGGAGGUCCGUAGCGGUUCUGACGUGCAAAUCGAUCGUCGGAUCCGGGUCUAGGGGCGAAAGACUAAUCGAACCAUC
rnacentral:rRNA from 1 species